rnacentral:rRNA from 1 species
UCGAGAAUUUUUCACAAUGGGCGAAAGCCUGAUGGAGCGACGCCGCGUGGGGGAUGAAUGGCUUCGGCCCGUAAACCCCUGUCAUUCGGGAUCAAUGUCCCGACAAUAACAUUGUCGGGAUUGAUAGUACCGGAAGAGGAAGGGACGGCUAACUCUGUGCCAGCAGCCGCGGUAAUACAGAGGUCCCAAGCGUUGUUCGGAUUUACUGGGCGUAAAGGGUGCGUAGGUGGUUGGAUAAGUCUGAUGUGAAAUCUCGGAGCUUAACUCCGAAACGGCAUUGGAUACUAUCUAGCUUGAGAGUUGGAGGGGGGACUGGAAUUCUCGGUGUAGCAGUGAAAUGCGUAGAUAUCGGGAGGAACACCAGUGGCGAAGGCGAGUCCCUGGACAACUUCUGACACUGAGGCACGAAAGCCAGGGGAGCAAACGGG